UACGGGGGGGGCAAGCGUUGUUCGGAAUUACUGGGCGUAAAGGGCUCGUAGGCGGCCAACUAAGUCAGACGUGAAAUCCCUCGGCUUAACCGGGGAACUGCAUCUGAUACUGGAUGGCUUGAGAUUGGGAGAGGGAUGCGGAAUUCCUGGUGUAGCGGUGGAAUGCGCAGAUAUCAGGAAGAACACCCGUGGCGAAGGCGGCUCUCUGGGACGGUACUGACGCUGAGACGCGAAAGCGUGGGGAGCGAACAGG
rnacentral:rRNA from 1 species